GCGUAGGCCUGGCUGUGGCCGUGGUCCCUGCUGUACUCGAGGCCCAACUGCAACUGUUUGUUUGCCAGCUCUAUGCCAAGCUCCACCCCAGAUGUACAGUGGGAGCAACAGGGAGGAGCUUCAGGGCAGCAGGGGAGAUAAGAAGCAAGUGAUCAGGCGAUCAGGAGGCUCAGGUUCGAUCUCCGAUCUCCCGAUCUCUCCAGUUGGGGAACAAGAUCCCACAAGCCUCGCGGCACCGCUGGAAAAACAACAACAACAACCAGGAAACAGUAUAAAAUGUAGAUUCUUAGUCCCUGCUGCCGGAGAUACUAAUCCAGUAAAUGGAGCCUAGCAUCCUUAUUUUUCAGUUUUGUAAAUGAUUCUGUUGAUUUGGGUUGAAAACUAUUGCCCCACCCUGAAUGGGGGUUUUCAGGGAGCUGACCUCUUCCCAAUUCCAGUGGGCUUUAGGCUGGAAUCCAAAUCAUCCUGAAGAUGUUUGGGAAUGGGUGUGAAGUGGAUCGAGGAUAUGGUUAUGUCAUUUGGUUGGUUUCAAAUUGUGACUCUGCCGUGAACUAGGUAUGUCACCUUGAACAAAUGGGUUCACUUUUUUCAAAGCCUCAAUUUAAUAAAAGGGGCUAAUUAUACUGACUGUAAGGGGACAUCCUGAUUAAUAAAAGGGUUAAGGAAUGUAAGGGGUGGCAAUGGCCAAGUAGUUUCAUCAGAAUAUUUUUGUGUGUGUGGCCUCAGUCGUGUCUGACUCUUAGUGACCUCAUGGAUUGUAGCCUGCCCGGCUCUUCUGUUCAUGCAAUUUUCCAGGCACGAAUAACUGGAAUGUGUUGCCAUUUCCUCCUCCAGGGGAACUUCUAGACAGUGGGAUCAAACCCGCAUCUCUUGCAUUUCCUGAAUUGGCAGGUGAAUUCUUUUACUGCUGCACCACCUGAAUGAUUGUCUCUUAACCAGAGAAUAAAAUGAGCAGUCUUGAGAGAAACAACAGAAUCCAGGGUCUGUACAAUAACCAGCACACAAAAAUCAAGUGCUAGACAUAGGAAGAAAUAGAAAACGGACUCAAUCUCAAAGAGAAAAAGUGAUGACCCAGAUGUCAGAAUUAGCAUCAAGAACUUUCAAGCAACUCAUAAAUAUUUUCAAACUCCGCCCCCCCCAAAUAUAGUCAUAAUGAAGGAACAGAUGAGGAACUUCAGCAGAGAACUGGAACUAUUAAAACAAAAUCAAAUGGAAAUUCCAGAAGUAAAAAGUACAGUAACUGAAAUGAAGAAUUAACUUGAUAGGUUCAGUAGCAGAAUGAACAUGACAAAGGAAAGAGUGAAUCUGCAGAUAGAUCAACACAAAUUAUUCACCCUUAAGACCAGGGAGAAAAAGAAGUCACUGGAAAAAAUUAUACAGAGUUUCAUGGACCUGUGGGACAACAUUCAAAGAUCUACAUACCACAUGUCAUUCAAAUUUUAGAAAAAGAAAAAAGAAUGGGGCAUAAAAAUAUUCAGAGAGAGGGAGUCCCCUGGUGACCUAGUGGUUAGGACUCCAAGCUUUCACUUCUGUGGCCUGGGUUCAAUCCCUGGUCAGAGAAUUGAGAUCCUGAAAGCCAUGGGGUGUGACCAAAAGAAAAAUAUUUGAAGAUAUAGUUCCUGAUGAUUUCUCAAAUUUAAUAGAUACAUUUAUAGAUUCAUGGGGAAAUAAAUGGCAACCCUCUCCAGGAUUCUUGCCUGGAAAAUCCCAUAGACAGAGGAGCCUGGCGAGCUGUCUAGUCCAUGGAGUCGCAAAGAGGUGGACACAGCUUAGCAACUGAGCAUGCACAUGAAUGAUAAUAGUGACAUUAAGGAUCUCUGCAUGGAUGUGUUUAACAUCUUUAUGUCUUCUUUGGAAAAAUAUCAUUUGAGUCUUUAGUCCAUUUUUAAUUGGAUUGGGUUUUUCUGAUAUUAUUGUAUAAGCUGUUUAUACAUUUUGGAUAUUAAUCCCUCACUGGUCA
ensembl:lncRNA